UAUCGGAACGUGCCCGGGAGUGGGGGAUAACGCAGCGAAAGUUGCGCUAAUACCGCAUACGAUCUAAGGAUGAAAGCAGGGGACCGCAAGGCCUUGUGCUCCUGGAGCGGCCGAUAUCUGAUUAGCUAGUUGGUGGGGUAAAGGCCUACCAAGGCAUCGAUCAGUAGCUGGUCUGAGAGGACGACCAGCCACACUGGAACUGAGACACGGUCCAG
rnacentral:rRNA from 1 species